rnacentral:scRNA from 1 species
AAGCCAUGCCCCUUUUGGAUGAUCCCUUUUUGUUC